UGUACCUGGAGGAGUUGGACCAGGAGGAGUCGGACCGGGAGGCUUCAGGCCUAGCUCCUUUGGCCCGGGCAGUGGACUGGGAGUCGUACCUGGAGGUGUUGGGACUGGUGGAAAGCCUCCAAAACCAGGUGGUGGCUAUGGUGGCCGUGAAGGAGUGCCUGGAGGAUUUGGAGCAGGACAGGGAGCUGGAGGUAUAGGAGG